UACGUAGGGUGCGAGCGUUGUCCGGAAUUAUUGGGCGUAAAGAGCUCGUAGGCGGUCUGUCGCGUCGGCUGUGAAAUCCCCCGGCUUAACCUGGGAACUGCGUCUGAUACUGGGAGGCUAGAGUAUGGGAGAGGGAUGUAGAAUUCCAGGUGUAGCGGUGAAAUGCGUAGAUAUCUGGAGGAAUACCGGUGGCGAAGGCGGCAUCCUGGACCAUUACUGACGCUGAGGCGCGAAAGCUAGGGGAGCAAACGGG
rnacentral:rRNA from 1 species